GCCAGCAUGGCGUAGUGGUUUGAGCACUGGACAGUGACUCUGGAGACGUGGGUUUGAUUCCCAGCUUGGCC